rnacentral:rRNA from 1 species
CUUUGUGGUUCAUGACUGGGGUGAAGUCGUAACAAGGUAGCGCUAGGGGAACCUGGCGCUGGAUCACCUCCUUACACGA